AGGAUGAACGCUGGCGGCGUGCCUAAUACAUGCAAGUCGAGCGGUAAGGCCCCUUCGGGGGUACACGAGCGGCGGACGGCUGAGUAACACGUAGGAACGUACCCCAAACUGAGGGAUAAGCACCAGAAAUGGUGUCUAAUACCGCAUGUGAUCUUCGGAUUAAAGCUUCGGCGGUUUGGGAACGGCCUGCGCAUGAUUAGCUUGUUGGUGAGGUAAUAGCUCACCAAGGCGACGAUCAUUAGCUGGUCUGAGAGGAUGAUCAGCCAGACUGGGACUGAGGACGGCCCAGACUCCUACGGGAGGCAGCAGUAGGGAAUUUUCCACAAUGGGCGAAAGCCUGAUGGAGCAACGCCGCGUGCAGGACGAAGGCCUUCGGGUUGUAAACUGCUUUUAUAUGUGACGAUUAUGACGGUAGCAUAUGAAUAAGGAUCGGCUAACUCCGUCGCCAGCAGCCGC
rnacentral:rRNA from 1 species